UACGUAGGUGGCAAGCGUUGUCCGGAUUUAUUGGGCGUAAAGGAUGCGUAGGCGGACAUUUAAGUCAGAUGUGAAAUACCCGAGCUUAACUUGGGUGCUGCAUUUGAAACUGGGUGUCUAGAGUGCAGGAGAGGUAAGUGGAAUUCCUAGUGUAGCGGUGAAAUGCGUAGAGAUUAGGAAGAACACCAGUGGCGAAGGCGACUUACUGGACUGUAACUGACGCUGAGGCAUGAAAGCGUGGGGAGCAAACAGG
rnacentral:rRNA from 1 species